GGGGGCGAAACGGUUUCGACCGGACGUCGGAAUGGAGAAUGGCAGGUGGAGGUGAUCCGGAGGCCUCCUAAAACACCGGAUAAAACUUUUUAAUUGUGAACAACAACUUCGCAAUGGCUGCCUAGUUUAACUAAGCGCCCCUUCCACCACGGUCUGUCCGUGAUCGUGACUGGAGGGCCAAAUUUACGGACUGGCCGAAGAAGACCCUGCCGGUGAUCUUCCAGGCGAGAUUGAACCGGCGCUCGCGGCUCGGAUCCUGUCCGUCGGAGCCGUUCGCGAGGCAAUAAAUGGCGGACUAAGCCUGUAGAUGUUCUUCUGGAAGCGUUUCGGGACCCGGGUUCGACUCCCGGCGCCUCCACUU
rnacentral:tmRNA from 1 species